rnacentral:tRNA from 1 species
GAGGGUAUAGUUCUCUGGUAGAGUACGUGCUUAGCAUGCAUGGAGUCUUGGGUUCAAUCCCCAGGACCUCCA